CACUGCAGAGGACGCCGUCAGCAGGAAGACACACUUCUCCAUGAACAUCGCCAUCCAGGAAGCGAGCUGUGCCUACAGAGUGCUGGGCCCCGAGGAGGCCUGGCACUGGGAAAUGGAUCAAUCCUUCCUCUUAAGAAACACUUGAGAAGCACAUAGGCAACUAUUUCAUAGGAGAAUGAAUAACAAGAAAGAAAGAAAAAGAAAACACAGAAGGGGUAACAGAGAAACUGACUUCCACAGACCUAGAGGGAAACGGUUGUUUUUUUAACGGAGGUAGAACAGAUUCGGAGCGCCUUCGAAGAAGAAAGAAGAGCCCCUGACCACACACUGUCCAGAGACGUGGAUCAGGAGGAGUGCCCAGGUUAACCGGCAAGACGAGAGUAAUCAGCGAUUCGGUGAUGAGGCAGGGGCAGGAGGGUGGCUGUCCAAUCGCCUACGCGGAAGGACGUGGAGGAUCAUUCUGCAUCAGAGCAGAUACUCAUCUGGAGGCUACAGACAUGGUUGUGUGAAGCUGACAGAUAGGAUCAUCUGUUUGAAUGCCUCUGGACACCGUGGGAAGACAAAAAAGAUAACUAUUAAAGAAUAUCAAGAGAUUUUGCUCUUGGAGACAUUCAGAAAUCUCGUUUUACAAAGGAUCAUAUCAGACAGAAAGGAGUGGUUAUGAAGCUGGUGAGAUGAAUGGAGCGAUUUGGAAGUGAAGAUGCUUGGCCCGGAGCAGAGAAGCUUAAAAGGAGAUGUAGUAGGAGUCUCCAUGUGGUCACUAUUAGCAGAGUUCAUGUUCACAUGAGGAAGACCCUCCAAGUCUCUCAUCCGUGGAACUGUCCCUUGAUUGUAGGGUGGUCUCACUGAGCAUCUUCAAGUGCAGGAUGGAUGGGUCUUUAAAGGACGUUAGUGAAAGGA
rnacentral:lncRNA from 1 species